GAAGAAGAAGAAGAAGAAGUUAAUUACCAAUAAAAUUAAAAUAGAUUAAUUUUUGAAAUAUACAUAUUUAUUAUAAAUUGAGGUUUAGAAAUAACACCCCUCUAUAUUUUUGGGAUUAAAAGAAAAUUGAAAACUGAAGACUGCAAAAACAAUGGAGUGUGCUGGCAAGGGGCGCGGAAAUCGUUGCAUAGGCCCAGCCAGAAGACGCUGCGGUCGCUGUGGAGCUGUUGCUUAUUGUUCCGCCUCUCACCAGCUUUUACAUUGGAGUGAUCAUAAAGACGAGUGUGAAAGGUUAGAAGAACAAAUGAAGCAUGUAGAUGUCUUGAAUGAUUUUCCUUUCACGUUUAGUGAAGAAUCUACAGUUCAGGUGUGUGAAAAGCAGGAGAGCAGGUGUUCAUUCCUGAGCAAAAGGGGCGUUCAUCGAGUAGGAAUGUGGAUGUAUGAAUGUUGCUGCGGUUUAUCCGUUGCUUCAUUUGAUUGUGCAAGGUCAACAGAUGAAGGUUGGAAUCUACCUAGUAUACUGUGCCCAUGUUCAGAGCCUUCAUUUCAAAUAUCAAAGCAUUUAUGUAGUUGGAAGAAUUACUUUGACUGGAGGAGCAUUCCACUACAUUCACCUGUUGCUUUGCUUCUUCACUGGCCGCUUACAAUAUAUUAUGCCACUCAAGUUGCUGGUUUGAGAAGCUUUAAUUCCAAGAUCAGUGAUAAACUGUGCAUCCACUACCUUGGGCCUGAGAAAGAGCUUCUACAACUUUCUGUCUUUGGUGAGUUGCUUGCACUUUUCCCUGGUGUAAAGGUGGAUAUAGAGCUUAUUGGGCCAGAAAUUCCGCAACAUAGGAAUGGUGAGAUGAUCAACCUUUGCAGUUAUGCUCAUUGCGCUGAUACUGAUUGCAUUUGCAAAUCUUCAAGUGAGAACUUCAGUUCGAGCACAGGCAUGAUUAAAUCUUCAGCAGUAACGUUGCGGCUUCACAAAGGAUUUUAUCAUGAUCGUUAUGGAGAUAUAGCAAAGGUGUUUCUUUCUGUGUGCACACUGCACAGAUAUAUACUUAUUUUUCCAUUUGAAGCUUCUCAUCUUGGAUAUGUUUUAGCUGUUCAGUUCUAUUUCUUGUAGUUUAAAAUGACUUCUGUUUGAUGGACAGGAUUCUGUUCCUCAUUUAAUCAUUGCUCCAAAUGCUGGCAUUGCUGCUUAUUCAAGUUGGCUGUCGACUAUUGAGCUAAUAAGGGAGAUAAAUGUUCCUGCAGUGUUUUCUGAUUAUUGUGAAGAAGCUUGUCAUCUUGCAGCUUCUUGCAUAAGCACAAUAACUGGCCAUCCUCCUAAACUUCCUAUUCAAUUAAAUCCAUUUAGGCAGCCGAUGGUGGUGGAAGACAGUGCUCUAUUUCUUCCUUGCUACUCAAAUUGCUUCUUAUUUGGGAUGUGAAGGAAUUUGCUUAGAGACAUGUUUUGAAAUUUUUGCAUUUUUCAAACAUCAUUUGAAACCCUUUAAUGUUAUGAGCAGGUAAUGAUUUCAAUUGAGUUUUCAAGUCCAAGGCUACAUGUUUAUUGAUGGAGUAGUAUGGCAAUUUAAUUUUAGGUGUUCAUGAAGGUUUGAAGCGGUAUCACCAUGUUUUUUUGAUCUAUAAACUAUUUCCACAUCUGAUUGUUGAUGUCUGUAACUGUUAACUGUAAC